rnacentral:rRNA from 1 species
UUAGAGUUUGAUCCUGGCUCAGAACGAACGCUGGCGGCAGGCUUAACACAUGCAAGUCGAACGCCCCUUUCGGGGGGAGUGGCAGACGGGUGAGUAACACGUGGGAACGUACCUCUUUGUUCGGAAUAACUCAUGGAAACGUGAGCUAAUACCGGAUACGCCCUUUUGGGGAAAGAUUUAUCGCAGAGAGAUCGGCCCGCGUCUGAUUAGCUAGUUGGUGAGGUAAUGGCUCACCAAGGCGACGAUCAGUAGCUGGUCUGAGAGGAUGAUCAGCCACACUGGGACUGAGACACGGCCCAGACUCCUACGGGAGGCAGCAGUGGGGAAUAUUGGACAAUGGGGGCAACCCUGAUCCAGCCAUGCCGCGUGAGUGAUGAAGGCCUUAGGGUUGUAAAGCUCUUUUAUCCGGGAAGAUAAUGACUGUACCGGAAGAAUAAGCCCCGGCUAACUUCGUGCCAGCAGCCGCGGUAAUACGAAGGGGGCUAGCGUUGUUCGGAAUCACUGGGCGUAAAGGGCGCGUAGGCGGACGAUUAAGUCAGGGGUGAAAUCCCGGGGCUCAACCUCGGAAUUGCCCUUGAUACUGGUUGUCUUGAGAUUGGAAGAGGUAAGUGGAAUUGCGAGUGUAGAGGUGAAAUUCGUAGAUAUUCGCAAGAACACCGGUGGCGAAGGCGACUUACUGGUCCAUAUCUGACGCUGAGGCGCGAAAGCGUGGGGAGCAAACAGGAUUAGAUACCCUGGUAGUCCACCCCGUAAACGAUUGGAUGCCAGCUGUUGGGGAGCAUGCUCUU